rnacentral:lncRNA from 10 species
AGUUCCUUUAUUUAUAGGCACAGCUGCUUAAAGACUGUUACCGGAAAGGAAUCCUGAUCCAGACGCCAAGAGAGGGUUCUUGGACUCAUGCAAGAAAGACUUCAGAAUACGAGUUUUGAAUUUUUGAAUUGCUGUUAAAACUUUCAUCAUGAACACUGAAGUGAGUGAAAAGAGACUUUUGCAGUCAUUUUUUUGCUGGCUGCAGAUGACAGUGACACCCUGGGAGUUGAGAAAUGCUUGUAAGAUGGAAGGAGGCUGUGUCCCUGAAUGAUCACCUGGAAGAGAGCCACCUUAGCCAAUGAAACUCCUGCUAUGAAUGUUUGCUGAGCAAGAAAUAUACUUACUGCUUUAUAUGCCUUUGAAGCUAUAGGUUCAUAUUGUUACCACAAUUUAAAGUGCUAUAAUAAAAAGAGUUCAGGAAGCAGGCACAUGGAAGCAAUAAGAGCAACAAACAUUUACACAGUUCUCAGGUCCCUGGACCAUGAAGGGCCACAUCCAAGGAGCUACCCCAGGAGGCCUCUCAUUUGCAUUUGUCCCCGCUAAUGCAGGACAGAGAUCAUGGAAGUUGGGCCCGACUGGAUGAGAUUUGGGGGUCUUUGGAAGUGGAGAAUGUGUUUGCCCUGGGGAAGAGAGGUGAUGUCUAGGAGACCUCUUCACUCAGGGCAAGCUCUAUGACCUGCUUUGACUCCAGAAUGUGGUAGAAGUGGCAUCACAUAAAUUGCAGAGCCUAGGCUUCAAGAGACCUUGCAACUUGCCUCUCACUGACUUGAAGUGCUCCCAUCAGAGCAUCUUGUAAGGAGCAGGUGGAGCAUGUGGACAAGCCAUCCCCACCAGCCCCUGAGACAUGUGAGAGAGGCCAGAACAGGCCAUCCGGACCCCACUGUGCUGGUGGAUGAGACAGCAGAAGGAAUAUCAACCUACCAACAGAAUCCUGAG